rnacentral:lncRNA from 1 species
CUUUUUUUUUUUUCUUUCCUUUUUUCCUUUUAGACUGUACCUGUAGCAUUUGGAAGUUCCUGGGCUAGGGGUCAAAUCAGAGCUGCAGCUUUCCUGCCACAGCCACAGUGACUGACAGUAAUGCCAGAUCUAUUUCUUUCCAAAGUUCUCUUUCCUGCCCCUUCAUUACCACUAGUAUCUUAUUGAGUUUCUCCCAGGUGUUGAAUUCAGCCUACAGCCAUCCAAGAUGGUUCCUAACCCUGGGGAGAGAUUUUAGGAGACAAUUUUUCAGGCUGUUGUAGGGUAAGUGACAGGUCUGGGGUUUAGGUCUCCUGGAUUCUAGCUGUUCCUUUGUUCCUGUUCUGCUGGGUAAAUCCUUAAGCAGGCUGGCAUAAAAAAAAUAUUUCAAUUACGUGUGGCUACAGGCUACAGGAGGUGCAGAAAGGCUUGAAGUGGGGGUAGUUUUUGCUUUGGGUUCCCUUUCUCUGCCUUGGACAGCUCUCUGCUUCUUUCUUUGCCUCUGUUGCUCCAGGAACAUCCUCUGGGUAUAUUUUCAGUUUCAGCCACUAGGUGGCGCCUCAACCCCAUCAGUCCCUUCACCAAAAGCCCCUGACAUGACUAAGAGGAAGAUGUCUUGGGAACUGCAGUGAUAUGGAAGGAAUAUACUCUUUUCUUCCUGAAAACCCUAAAUGCUGUUUCCCUGGCUGUCUGAGGAGAAGGAGGCCAUUUCUCCAACUUCACUGCUCUUUCUUCUGACUCUUUCCGUCUGCCCUUGCUGCCAGCUGGAGUAGGUAGACAGCAGGUAGAAGAGAAGCAUUGUUCUGUGGGUGACCCUGGGGGUGGGAACACCUCUCUGGUCCAUGAGAAGCAGCACCGUCAAGUGGUUAAGUGCACCAGCUCUAGAACGGUUAGGACAUAUUCGAACCUGGCUCCACCGUAUCAACUACGUAAGUAUGAGAAUUUACAUAACUUCUCCUUGCCUGUUUCCUCAUCCAUAAAAUGGGGCCCAGGAAAAUGACGUGCCUCCAGAUGGCUGCACUGUGGUGGUGUAACUCUUACUUAUGAGGACUGCCCAGGUUAGAUCCUAGAUCAAACCAAACAAACGUUAGCCCUCAGUGGGAUUGAUCUGUCAUCUCAAUGGCCCUGGCGAGAGAAUGUUGGCCCUUAUCUCGUCUAGUAUUUUUCCCCCAGGAAUAAACCUUGGUGAGCCUCCUGGACCCAGGACUGAGAGAGCUCUACCUCUGACCACAAAGCUGGUAGAAGACUGUUAGCCCCUCUUCCGGUCUGGAACCUCUUCCAGGUGACCAUCUCCUUGGAGGCGGGACUUCCAGACCCUACACCAGUGUCCCAGCUGGUGGCUGCUUCUCCACCAUCAGUCUGGUCUUGGCACUUCCUCCCUUUGUAACCACUGUGUGUUAACUUAGCAUAUAUUUUUUUUUUUUUUGCAUCAGAUUUCUGGGUCCUCAGCUAGAUAUACAACUUUUCAAAUUAGUUUGGUUUAAAAAUAUUGCUUGCAGGAGUUCCCAGAGUGGCACUGUGGGUUAAGAAUCUGACUGCAGCAGCUUGGGUUGCUGAAGAGGUGCAGGUUGGAUCUCCAGUCCGGUGCAGCGGGUUAACGUAUCUGGCCUCUGGGACCUAUGCCGCUCAUUCAGUGUCUGGCCCAGGAACUUCCAUGUGCCAUGGGUGUGGCCAUUAAAAAAAAUAUUGUUUCCUGGCUUUUAGGGCCAGACACUGUUCGUGUGCUCUGUAACUGCUGCAGUAUUAUUCCUGCAGUCGGUAGCAUCCAUUCCAGCAGCCUAGGAGUAGGAACCAGUUCUCUUCUCAUGGUGAACAGCAGGGACGCAAAGUCAUCCUUCCCUGAGUGACUGCUGGGGAUGCAGAGCUGUGAAGGGAGAGACAGAGUCCUCUGGAUAAAACCAACCUUACCUUCUCAGUAUCAGGUUAGAAAAUGCAAUUCCAUCUCCUCAGGGCUCUCUGAAAAUCACAGAGGGGAUAUCCUAUACCCGGUUGGUAAUAACUCUCACUGCUUCUUAGGUUUCUCUAAAUCAUCUUCCCUUUAUGUUCUUCAAGUGUUACAUUCAGGGGGUUAUUGACUGGCUUUGGCGAUAAGUAAGGACGAGCGGAGGAGGGGAACAGAGAUCCUGACCACCGUUUCAUGGGCCCGUUCCCUACCUCUCCGUCUUCUUUGAAAAAAUGUCUAUUCAGGUCUUCUGCCCAUUUUUUGAUGGGGUCGUUUGUAUUUUUGAUAUUGAGUUGUACGUACUGUUUAUGUGUUUUGAAUAUUAACCUCUUGCUGGUCAUAUCAUUUGCAAAUAUUUUCUCCUGUUCC